ACGAACGCUGGCGGCUGCUUAACACAUGCAAGUCGAACGGAGUGGCGAACGGGUGAGUAACGCGUGAGCAACCUGCCUAUGACAGUGGGAUAGCCUAGGGAAACCGGGAUUAAUACCGACUAGUCAGAGAUGGGCUCGCGUCUGAUUAGCUAGUUGGUGAGAUAACAGCACACCAAGGCGACGAGCAGUAGCCGGUCUUGGAGGAUGAACGGCCACAUUGGAACUGGGACACGGGCCAAACUCCUACGGGAGGCAGCAGUGGGGAAUAGUGCACAAUGGGGGAAACCCUGAUGCAGCGACGCCGCGUGAACGAAGAAGGUAUUCGUAUCGUAAAGUUCUGUCCUAUGGGAAGCAGUACCAUAGAAGAAAGCUCCGGCUAAAUACGUGCCAGCAGCCGCGGUAAUAC
rnacentral:rRNA from 1 species